rnacentral:rRNA from 1 species
AUUGAACGCUGGCGGCAGGCUUAACACAUGCAAGUCGAGCGGGGUGAUGGUGCUUGCACUAUCACUUAGCGGCGGACGGGUGAGUAAUGCUUAGGAAUCUGCCUAUUAGUGGGGGACAACAUCUCGAAAGGGAUGCUAAUACCGCAUACGUCCUACGGGAGAAAGCAGGGGAUCACUUGUGACCUUGUGCUAAUAGAUAAGCCUAAGUCGGAUUAGCUAGUUGGUGGGGUAAAGGCCUACCAAGGCGACGAUCUGUAGCGGGUCUGAGAGGAUGAUCCGCCACACUGGGACUGAGACACGGCCCAGACUCCUACGGGAGGCAGCAGUGGGGAAUAUUGGACAAUGGGGGGAACCCUGAUCCAGCCAUGCCGCGUGUGUGAAGAAGGCCUUAUGGUUGUAAAGCACUUUAAGCGAGGAGGAGGCUUACCUAGUUAAUACCUGGGAUAAGUGGACGUUACUCGCAGAAUUAGCACCGGCUAACUCUGUGCCAGCAGCCGCCGUAA